CCUACGGGAGGCAGCAGUCGAGAAUUUUUCACAAUGGGCGCAAGCCUGAUGGAGCGACGCCGCGUGGAGGAUGAAGGUUUUCGGAUUGUAAACUCCUGUCACUGCAGAACAAGGGUAUGCCGGUUAACAGCCGGUGUACUUGAUGGUAUGCGGAGGGGAAGGGACGGCUAACUCUGUGCCAGCAGCCGCGGUAAU
rnacentral:rRNA from 1 species